GUUUGAUCCUGGCUCAGGAUGAACGCUAGCGGCAGGCCUAAUACAUGCAAGUCGAGGGGUAAGGCUCACUUCGGGAGACACGACCGGCGCACGGGUGCGUAACGCGUAUGCAACCUACCUUUAACAGGGGGAUAGCCCCGAGAAAUCGGGAUUAAUACCCCAUAAUAUAUAGAUAUGGCAUCAUAUUUUAUUUAAAGCUCCGGCGGUUAAAGAUGGGCAUGCGUGACAUUAGUUUGUUGGUGAGGUAACGGCUCACCAAGACUUCGAUGUCUAGGGGAUCUGAGAGGAUGAUCCCCCACACUGGUACUGAGACACGGACCAGACUCCUACGGGAGGCAGCAGUAAGGAAUAUUGCGCAAUGGAGGCAACUCUGACGCAGCCAUGCCGCGUGAAGGAAGAAGGCUUUAUGAGUCGUAAACUUCUUUUAUAUAGGAA
rnacentral:rRNA from 1 species